CCUACGGGGCGCAGCAGUGGGGAAUAUUGGGCAAUGGACGCAAGUCUGACCCAGCAACGCCGCGUGAAGGAAGAAGGCUUUCGGGUUGUAAACUUCUUUUAAGGGGGAAGAGCAGAAGACGGUACCCCUUGAAUAAGCCACGGCUAACUACGUGCCAGCAGCCGCGGUAAUACGUAGGUGGCAAGCGUUAUCCGGAUUUACUGGGUGUAAAGGGCGUGUAGGCGGGCAUGCAAGCCAGAAGUGAAAUCUGGGGGCUUAACCCCCAAACUGCUUUUGGAACUGCGUGUCUU
rnacentral:rRNA from 1 species